UAUGUACGUACUUUCAAAUGAAAGUUGAUAAACCAUGGGUGUAUAUACUUUAGAGGGCCCAAACUCACCACGAAACAGUAUCACAAUCGUUCAACAUGAUGUAAUCAAUUCAAACGAAAUAAAGGUGAACCUUUCAAAGAAAUGUGCAGACGAAACUCUUCAGAGAUGUUUUGAACAUUAUAACAGACCAGAGGAUCCAAUUCACAUUGAUGGCCCAGCACCCCCCAAAUCAAAAUGUAUUACUUGCAGAAGAAUAAAAUCAUUACAAUAAAUAUACCUAUA